rnacentral:rRNA from 1 species
AGGACGAACGCUGGCGGCGUGCUUAACACAUGCAAGUCGAGCGGUAAGGCUCCUUCGGGAGUACACGAGCGGCGAACGGGUGAGUAACACGUGAGCAAUCUGCCCUUCACUUUGGGAUAACUUCCGGAAACGGAAGCUAAUACCGAAUACGACCACUUCAGGCAUCUGAUGGUGGUGGAAAGUUCCGGCGGUGAAGGAUGAGCUCGCGGCCUAUCAGCUUGUUGGUGAGGUAAUGGCUCACCAAGGCUUCGACGGGUAGCCGGCCUGAGAGGGUGACCGGCCACACUGGGACUGAGACACGGCCCAGACUCCUACGGGAGGCAGCAGUGGGGAAUAUUGGACAAUGGGCGAAAGCCUGAUCCAGCAACGCCGCGUGAGGGAUGACUGCCUUCGGGUUGUAAACCUCUUUCAGCGGGGACGAAGCGAAAGUGACGGUACCGCAGAAGAAGCACCGGCCAACUACGCGCCAGCAGCCGCGGU